GUUUAUUUAGAACAUGAUUGACAGAAUACAGAUAAUUCUCCCGCACCACAGCCUGAGUGUCAGGAUCUGACCCAGCCUGUCAGGAAGCCCCUCAGAUGUGUCUUUCCCUGGCCUAGGGCAAGGACAGUGUGAGAUUUGACCUUGGGGUGGGGAGAAAAAGUAGAUCUUAGACUCACAGACUUGAGCAGCUGAUUGAAGAGAUUGUCGUGAAAGUAGAGAAAGGAAGAGGGUAGGGAAGGAAGAAUGGUGUUUGGGGUGGAGGAAGUAGCCAGCCGUGUUCAGUACAACUGAGGAGUCAUGCAAGGAGAGGUUCUCGGGUGAGUCACUUUAUCACCCUGAGGUUUGGUUUAUCUGUUAAAUAAGGGUAUUAGUGCUCAUCUUCCAGGACUGUCAUAUGACUCCGAAAUAAUAUAUGCAAAGUGUCUGUGUCUGAUUAAAAAAGAUUAUAUAGAAAGAUGUAUAGAAAACAUUCUUUUUUUCUUGGCAAUGGGACUAGGAUGGGGCUGUCCUAGCAGAAGAGAAGAGGGGAAGGGUAUGUAUGUACAACAGUAUUAAUCACCCCUCAGCAGCAGGGCUUUUAGUGGGUCUGUCCCUUGCCAGGUAAGGCUGGGUAGUCAGCAAGGACCACCCACUUCAGUUCAGGGGCUGAGUGGAAGUAAAGUGGGAACAGGGAAGAACCCUAGAGGCAAGUGCUAUGGGAGGGGCUGAGUGAUAGGGCAGCCUAACUGAUAACAGGGACCCUGAGCUAUCGUGACUGAGGGAAAGGUUGGAAGGUAUCUGGGAGGGGGUUCCACUUCCUGUCCAGAGUAUUAGAGCAGGCUGGUCCAGGAAUGACAUUCUCAUGGGUCCUGUAUUCUUGCCCAGGCUACCUAGGGUGAGGCGUGCUCCUGGGGUACUCACUUCAGUGGGAUGUGAGGUGCCUUUCACCCUCCUCGCUCUCUCCUUGAGCGCUUGGUCUGGUCUGAGCUCUGCCCCUCCCCAGCUCCUGGUCUUUUUCUCUCCACACAAUAACAGGAUGUGAUCAGUUCGAAGAGAGGAAGUGGGGGAGGACUGCUGUGCUGAUAGCAGGGAAGGAGAGGGGGUUCUGGCUCUCCCCUCUCUGGUCCUCCUCUGCUCUGUCAACCCGCCUCUGUAGCUCUUUUUCCCCUCAGCCAUUCCCCAGGCUUCUAUCUGAGACCAGUGGGGAUGAACUUGGGACUUCACUUCAGGCCCAUGCAGGACUGUUUGCCUAUGGAGAGACAUGCCUUGACCACACCUCUGCAGGGCCUGCCUUCUGGAGAGGCUUGCUGGUCAAGCUUUAGAUGCUAGGUUAUUUCCUGCCCUGCAGCUGCUGGAGUCUAAGGGUUUCCAGCAGAAGGUGUGACCCAGAUUAAAAAUCCUUCAAGACCUGGAUCAAAAGCCUGUGCCUACCAACCUCAAGAACCAUAUCAAAGGCAUGUUGUCUUCCAUCCUCAAUGACCCAGAUCACAGGCAUGGAACUCAGGUCGUCAGGCUUGUACAGCAAGUACAGCAUCCGAGGAGCCAUCUUGCUGGUGCCCUGUGGUCUCUUUCUCCAUGAAAAGUUUUCGGAAGCAUCUAAUAAAAUGUACAUUACUGAACAGCAAGCAAAGUGUAUUGGAACACAGUUAUCAAAAUGUUAAAGCAGCUGGGGGUGAUAGGACGGCAUCCGAGGACCGUGGUUUGCAGUCUUUAUUCCGAAUGGAAGAAACUUUCAACAUUUACAGGUUAGUGAGAAGCCAGAUGUGGUAUCCCCUGCCCAAGUUCACAAGCCGUCGAGAGUGUAAACAAAAAGUGGCCCAGUUAGUGAAAUGCUCUGAGAGUGAAGAGGCGCCUCCACAUCCCCGACCAGUCUAGUUUAGCCCUCUGCAGACAUCCUCAUGGGUGACCAUAGGUGACACGGUCUUUUGCCUUCCUUGGUACGCCUAUAGGGAUAGUUCAGUUCCCUCUCUGAAACAUUCUCUCCUUAGGGUUGGACAGCUCCAAGGGCUCUCACUUAUUGAUAGAGAUUCUGGGGGCCACUGUCCUAGAGUUAGCACUAGGGAAGACAAAGGGCCCACCUGUAGCUAGUCACACUAUCCCUCCACUCACUCCCUUACCGUCUAUCCUGUCAGGUCAGGCACUGUAUAUUCCCAGAUUUAAUAUCAUAAAAUAUAUGUGAGUAUGUGGUGUAGGCAUUGUGUUCAUGCUGUGUGCUGGAGGUAAAAAUAAAAACAAGUGUGUGUGUGUGUGUGUGUGUG